rnacentral:lncRNA from 1 species
CCAAAACCUGGUUGAAGUAAGGGAAAAUCAUCGCAAUUCCAGUUGUAGAUAUAACAUACGUAGUUCGAAAGCAUAUCCUGAGAAGAUUCAUCUGGAAAGCUGGCAGCAAUGGGAGUUUUAAGGUGUAGAAUUUAUUCACAAAUCCACUGUUUGGGAACUUUCUGGUAACCCAUCUUUCCACAAAUGCAAACACUGGCUGGCUAUACACCUAACAGAAGAAAAAAAAAAAGGUGUAUCAACAAAAAAGACUUGUAAUAAUUACCAAUCUGAAUUGUGGAAACAAAUGAGAAAUAUGUAGAGUACCACUAGACAGAAAAAUAACAUAUUAAAUAAUGUGGAAAGGUCAAUACCUAUUAGAAAAAGGAAGCAAAAUUCUAAUCUGUAAGUUCAUAAAAUUUUCUGGUGGAAUUACCUAAAAUGAAGCUAUAUUUGGGAAUAGGAAUAUGUGAGUAAGUAUUUCCAUCCAUAAAGAAAACAGGGGAUUAAGUCAUAUUUUUGAAGUUCAACUAGUUUUGACAUAAAAUAGUAGUGUACCUG